GAUGAAGAACGUAGCGAAAUGCGAUAAGUAAUGUGAAUUGCAGAAUUCAGUGAAUCAUCGAAUCUUUGAACGCACAUUGCGCCCGCCAGUAUUCUGGCGGGCAUGCCUGUUCGAGCGUCAUUUCAACCCUCAAGCCCAGCUUGGUGUUGGGGAUCGGCACAGGCGCCCUCGGGCGCCCGCCGUCCCCUAAAUCUAGUGGCGGUCCCGCUGCAGCCUCCUCUGCGUAGUAGUUUUCUCCUCGCAAGGGCAGCUCGGUGGCGACCUCGCCAUAAAACCCCCAACUUCUGAAAGGUUGACCUCGAAUCAGGUAGGAAUACCCGCUGAACUUAAGCAUAUCAAUAAGCGGAGGA
rnacentral:misc_RNA from 1 species